rnacentral:rRNA from 1 species
CGGACGGGUGAGUAAUGUAUGGGGAUCUGCCUGAUGGCGGGGGAUAACUACUGGAAACGGUAGCUAAUACCGCAUAAUGUCUGCGGACCAAAGCGGGGGACCUCCGGGCCUCGCGCCAUCAGAUGAACCCAUAUGGGAUUAGCUAGUAGGUAAGGUAACGGCUUACCUAGGCGACGAUCCCUAGCUGGUCUGAGAGGAUGACCAGCCACACUGGAACUGAGACACGGCCCAG